rnacentral:lncRNA from 1 species
CCGCCGCACGCGGGCGGGGCUGGGAGCGCGCGCCCGAGAGGCGCGUGGGGCACCCGCCGCAAAGAGGAGCCUGCUGGUCUGCUGGCGGGCAGGCGGCGCUGGGCCGGAGCCUCUCCCUCCGGUGCGCACAGCGCACCCUCUCCUCCCCCGGCCGCCCGUCGCAGCGCGGAGAGGGCGUGUCGGCACCCUGCCUGGCGAGCGCCCACCCCUACAAUGGCUGCGAGCGCGCGGGACGGAGGGUGCACCGCCGCUCCCCGGGGACUUGCACGGGUGGCGCGCCUAGCCCAGAGCCCGCUUGUAGUGAGCGCUCAGUAGGGCGGGAAAGCUGCUGCCGCUACUGCGGCCUUCUGAGAAGACGCCCAUUCUCUGAUGUCAGGACUGCAUCGCCGAGUCCUGAUUGCAAAUAGCGAAAUAUAUAAUUAAGGAGAGUUCGGGGGCGUAUCCUGCAAUGGGAUGCCGAGUUCGAUAAAGUUGCAGGAUGCUGGGAAAGUGGAUUGAUUUGCUGUUGCUAAAUGAAUGGAAACAGCGUUAGAGCUUCUGUCCACGAUCCAUCAGUCUAUCGAGAUUGCUGAUUGCCUAUGACUUGGACGGUUGAUGGUUUUCAGGCCCACUGAGAGCAGCCAGCGUUGGUAUAACCGCAGGGAGCCCUCCUGGGAGGUUGAACCUGCAGAGCGCAAAUGUGCCCAGGUUGAUUUGGGGCCUAGUGGUCCAUUUUCACAGCUCCACUGCCUAUCUGCAUAACCAGGAGCCCUCAUUCAGAUGAACGCCAAAUGGGCCAGAGGGAGGAGAAUCAAAUGAGCAACUUUUAAAAGAUAUUAAGACAUAGGCACCUAACUCCGGACAGUUCCUUUAACCCUUGAGCUAACCAUUUGAAGCACAAAACAUAACAAAAGAAAAGACUGGGGGGAGUGGGGCCAAAAGAAACCAAGUGCAAAAUUCUGUACACUUGUGUCAGAUUCACUCCGUAAUGGGAAAAGGUCUGGCUUUGAAAACUUUAUGGAUCAAAGGGAUGCAUGGAGUUACACAGCACAGCUGCAGAAGAUAAUGUUCCCCUGGAUCACUCUGCCCAACUCUUAACUGCAACCCACCUUCCCCAUCCGUCUCCCCGAAAUCACCCGGAAGGGUGUUACCUUCAGGAAGUAACUGAUCUCUUGAUCACCCCUGCUGGAUCCUGUCCCCAAGGGCGUUCGAAUGCAUCCGACUCAUCUUCACCUUGCCAAUAACGGGUGCUUGACACAUCGUUUGCUGCCAAUCAUUAUUGUGAUUUUAAUACUAUUGGUAUUCUAACUAUCAAGAUGACUGCUUGUAGAGCCAGAUUGCCUGGAUUCAAACUCCAGUUCACAACCUACUAACUGUAUGCCUUUAGGUAAACUCAGAUGCCUCUGAUGGAUUCGAAAUAACCAGAUAUAUUUCUGAAUUGCUUCAUAUGGGGGUAAUGCUAUUUACCUGGGAUCCUAUCCAGCAGCUUCAAAGGUGGUGGCAGCCAUUACCCGACUAAUGAGCACAACACCCCUGGCUCCCUGUCUUCAAGGCAGGAAGAUGCUGUGAUGCACAUCAGGAGAUGGAGGGAAAAGAAAUGACUUGCCCACCUGAGUGGCAGGUGAGUCACAUUAGCCUCUCUGUGCCUCGCUUUCCUCAUUUGUAAAAUGAGAGGGUUGGUCCCUUCCACGUGAUGUCUUCCAUAUGAGUCUGGCUGACCUGCAGACCUGAUUUUAAGCUCUCUCUGGGUUCUUUGUCUGUUUUAGAUAUCUAGACAUAUAUGUCUGUCUCUGUGUGUAUGUGCAUGUUUAUGUGUUGCAGAAACAGUUGGGAAAAGAGAUUAAGGAAGGGAUGGUGCUGUUGGCUCCAGGCAGUGACUCAAGGAGGCAUUCAUGGUGAAAGAAGAAAGGCCUUUCUCAGGUGAUGCUUCAUCUUCCCCCACGUGCUCUGAUACCCUGUCCCUGCCUUGAUGUGUCUAUAAAUACAAACAGCAGGAGACCCGCAUCAGUAGACAAAGCAGGUGGCUGCAACCUAUUCUUCUUCCCAAUGGCCACUGGGACAGUUCCUCUCCCCCAGAACUUGUUGUUUAUAUUUAUUUUACACUAAAGCUAUUUUAACAUAAACCUGUUGAAAUAGGAGAGGGCUUCCCAUCUCACACCUCCACAGAUGUGUAUUUUCUAGAACAAAUUCAAGACUAAUCAUAAAAUGAAAACAGAUUUCCACAAAGUUGUUCUUUAUAAUGUAAAUUUUUUUCUGACAGGCAGCUUAAUACUUCAAAGGGCAACCCAUUCCUUUAUUGAUUAUAACUAAUUGUUUGAGAUUUUCUUUAGCAUGAGUUGAAAUUUUUCUUCCUUUGUCAAAGUGAAGGAAGGGACUUGUAUACAAGGAAGGUCCUUGUAUAAAGGACCUAUCAUCAAGGUACCAUCUCUCUUUAAACUUUAACUCCCAGAGGAGAAAUACCUAUAGCCACACAAUUCAUGUACUUUUUAGUCAUUGGAUCUCUAUGACUAUUAUCAUUAUAGAAACUGUUUUAAUAUAAUAAUAAUUUGAAAACUGGAUUUUAAGAAUACAAAUUUAGAAAUAGCAGUUCUCUCUAGAGACUCAUUCAUGAAUAUGGAAAGAUCUUUUAUCAGAUAAUUCCCCCCAGGGGUCCUUUAAAUAGCAAUCUCCUUCGUUUUGAUUCAAUUUGUAGAAAUCCCAUCUAGAUGCAUUACUGGACCACACAUUGUGUAAAGGAAGGUACAUUAUGUGUUGGGUAACCAUUUGGCUCUCUCUUUCUUCCCAACUUGUGACUAAUUGAUUUUGCCAUUAAUUGGGAUUUCCCCUGGAGGCCAUUUGAUCUGUUUGCAGGAUGAGCAGGGAGUUAGGGCAGUCCCUCCAGAUGGGACGGCUUUCAAUAAGCAGACAGUCCAAAGGGGCAUCAGAGUGAUACAGAAACGAUUAAUUGAAUAACUCACUUGAAAAUCAUGUGCUGCUUUAAAGACCUAAAAGCUAAGUAAAUACCUAAGUAAAGGCCAUACUGAUCAAGUAAGACUCCUUGUUGCAGCCUGGCUGAGAAUAAUGCCAGGAAAAAAAAAAUUUAAGAGCAUCCCAUUAAUGGAUUCUUUAAAAUACUGGAAGCAUGAUUCCAGGCAAUAACAUACUGUAAUCCCCAUAAUACUCACAUUUGCAUAACUCUAGAUAAUUUAUGAAGCAUUUUCGCAGAUACUGUGCAGAUCUCACACUGACACGGGGGUGGGUUGGCUGUGAAAGGGCUCAACUGGACUUACAUUCCAGGAGCAGAAACAGGCUUGGAGCUGUGGACUUCUCAGAGGCAUACAACUAGUAAGUGGCAGAAAUAUUACCAGAACCCAAAACUUCUAAUUCUAAAUUUCUUGACAACACACAGCACCAUCUCCCCAGUGCAUCACAGCUAAAACCACCUUACUGGACUCUGUUUUACCCUGGAGAAGAAAUGCAUACUGACUGAGGACUCUGCUCCAUGCCUGGCAAAAUAUUUGUAUUAUUUUUACAAGUAUGUUUUAGUUUUAUACAGAUAAAUACAAUUUUAAAUGGUUAAAGAUGGCCUCAUAUUUAAAAAGCACAUUGGGAGCCACUGUGUUAGAUUAUGCAGUGCAGACAUAGAGAACCAAAAGGCUAUGUGUGGUGGGAAUAGUGAGGCAGAACAAGAACUUUCUAGAAAAGGAAAGAAAGGAGAGAACCUGUGGAGCGGAGCUGGGAACCAGGCUGGAGAGGAGAGGGAAUAGCUGUCCAGGAGCAGCUAUGCAUGUAAACUAGACAUGAGGCUCUAUUUUAUCGAGAAUUUUCCUUCUCUUAUCUCUACAUGCCCUUUCCCACUACCACCUAGCAGUCAGCUUUAUCCCCUGAGAGGACUUAGGGAAAUGGAAGGAGGAGAGGAGCUGACUUUGUCUACCUAAUAAGAGAAGGACAAGGGGAAGCCAUUAUCCUGACCUUUCUGUCUCCCCAGGAAAUGGGUAUCUACCUCUUUGCAUUUGUUUACUAAGAAAGGCUAUUCAAGUGAUUUUUCCUAGAAUAAUGAAAGAUGUUUCUAGAAGGUUUGCUUUCUCCCCAACACAAAGAAGCAGCCAGGAAUUCCUAAAUAUCAAGCUUUUUUAAAAAAAUUCCAUUUCACCAGGCAAUCCACUAUGCACGUGAGAACAGCACCUACUUCAUAUGCUUGUUGUAAGAUGUAAUCAAGACCACGUACCUAAGCUGUUUACACAGGGGCAGGCACAAGUUAGGCAUACCAUGAACAUUUGUGUCUUAGUCUGUUUUCUGCUGCUAUAACAGAAUACCUGAGAUGGAUUAAUUUAUAAACAAUAGAAGUUUAUUUGGCUCACCGUUCAGGAGAUUGGAAAGUCUAAGAGCAUGGUGCCUGCAUCUGGUGAAGGCCUUCAUGUUGUGUCAUCCCAUGGCAGAAGGUGGAAGGCAACAAAGGGCAGCAGUGAGCAAGCAAGAGGAGGCUGGACUCGCUUUUAUAACAAAGGUACUCUGGAGAUAAAUUACCCACUCCUGUGAUAACAACAUUAAUCCAUUCAUGAGGGCGGAGCCCUCUGACCUAAUCACCUUUUAUUAGGCCCCACCUCCCAAAAACUGUUGCAUGGGAUUAAGUUUCCAAAACAUGAACUUUGGGGAACACAUGCAAACAAUAGCAAUUUAUAAAUAAGGACCAAAAUUUGUUGAGGACUUAACAGGUGAACCCAAGAGCUACAAUGGGGCUCCAGGCACAAUCUUUGUCUUCAAGGGGUAUAUUAGUCUGUUCUCCUGCUGCUAAUAAAGACAUAC